AUGCUUGAGACACAUUGGAAGGUCAUGGCUAUGACCUUUCGGUCGCAAGGGGAUGCAUACAUAUUCUACAACAAUCACGCCAGAGAACACGGGUUUAGCAUAAGGAAACAGAAGGUGAAACGAGGUGCUUCGGGAAUGAUCCGGUACCGGCGGUUUCUUUGCUCCAGGGCUGGGAGAAGGCAGAGCAAGUUCAUAACCAUGGAGGGCCGCAAGCGCAGGCUUAGACCGGAGACUCGUUGUGACUGCGGUGCACAUAUGGUGGUGAAGCUGGACAGAGAACGUGGCGUUUGGUUCGUCGCAUCAUUCGUGGAUGAUCACAACCACGCGAUGGCUCGGCCCGACGAGGUUUGUUUUUUAUGGUCACACAGACGGAUUGGAGAUGGGCAGAGGGCCGAGAUAUUGGCCAUGGAAGCGGCCGGGAUAAGAAAGCAUAUUAUAAUGGACAACUUCAUCAGCAGAUACGGUUCGUACGAUAAGUGCGGGCUUAUCCGGAGGGACAUUUACAAUCUUUGUUGCAGAGAAAAAAUGAGGCUCAUUGCAAAGGGUGAUGCAGAGACGGCAGUUGGCAUUAUGAGGAGUAGGAAGGAGAAGGACCCUGAGUUUUUUUUGAGUAUGUGCGUGACAAGGAAGGGCGACUGA
rnacentral:rRNA from 1 species